rnacentral:ncRNA from 2 species
ACAGUGUCGCAAUAGUAGUCUAACCUAUUACAAGAGGAACCACUGAUUCAUACAAAUGGUCAUCGUUCUUGGGUGAAAAGCCAUUGGCAUGAAUCUACCAUAUAUUGGAAUAGGACUGUACACCUCAAAGUCAAAAUCUGAGCUAGAAGCGAUGCAUUCUCUCACUCUCUGCUUGCCGACACGUAGUAUUGGCCUAUGACCUCCAAGGGCACGUGUUGUUGGCUAAGUUGUCGCGACAGAAGAGUCGCGGUGACCGCCUUUAUGUAUAGUUUCCAUCGAGCGGCGAGUAGAAACCUCUGCAGAUGACUUAAAUACACGACGGACUCUACAAGAAAAAAACGAUUUUUAACGAACAUAAUUUAAUGAAGAGAUAUGAAUCUAGUCGUUAUAAGUA